AAGUCGUAACAAGGUUUCCGUAGGUGAACCUGCGGAAGGAUCAUCACUGAUUCUGAAAUCUUAUUCACACCCUGUGCACGGACCUGGUCUGGCGGGCGGGCUCGCCGAGCGCGCCCCCAGACCUCAUCCCGAUAAACGCCCGCCGAAGACGAUCUGAACACAAACGAAAAAAACAGACACAACUUUUAACAACGGAUCUCUUGGUUCUC
rnacentral:misc_RNA from 1 species